AGUGAAAGCUAUAACCUUGGUAAACCUUUUCCCAAGAACCACGAUAUCCUCUGAUAUCACCCUUGUCAUCUUCCACCAGAACCACUGAGAACCCUAUACAACUUGCGCCCAAGAACGAGCUUCAUCAGAUCACACCACUAGACGGCCCCAUGGGGCCUUGCGAGUCAAAACCACCAUGAUCCUUCUCCAGUUCAGACCGCGAAGCCUCCCCCGAGGAGGAUCCCCCUUGAGAUGUCUAUCUCGCAGUCUCCUUUUCCAACCCCGAGUUCCCCCCC
rnacentral:lncRNA from 1 species